GAGCAGUUGGUGCAGGCUGAAGAGGGAUUGCAGAGUCCGGCAGAGGAGGACUGUAGAGAGAGUUGACAUGCUCUUGAAGUUGCCUAACUCAGUGCUAGACACACGCAGAGAUCAAUUCAAAGACUAAGAAGUCCAAGGCACUAUAUCGCCCUGGCCAGACAGAGGCUGAUGUGGAGCCCUUUGGCUGGUAGCAGUGCUUCUGGGUUGAGGAAGAUAAAAAGGAAGGCACGGUUGAAACUCAACAUAUGUCAGGUCACCUUAAAGGUGUGCUAAAGAAAUAACCCUGGCCUGAAGAGAAAGCUCAGCUCCUCACGUGCCUGCUACAUGGCUCUAAAGACCCGUGUAUAGAUUUUUAGCACCCACGGAUAAUCAGAAGAAUUGACAAAUAAGUACAAAAAAAACAACUUGGAACUCUGCAGUCAUUAAUGUCAAGUCCAACUCCCAUGGAAUCAGUGUCCUCCAGCUUUGAUGUGCACAAGAAAUAUCUGGGUGUCAUAAGAAGAACUUUGUCUACUUCUCCUGAGACAGGGUUUCUCAUUGGUCUGGAACUCACCAAUUAAGCUAGACUGGUUGAAAGUGAUCCAUUGGGAUCCUCCUAUCUCUAGUGCCUCAGUGCUGGGAAUACGCAGGUGUACCACUACGCCUGGCUUUUGUCAGUGUUUUAGGAAUUGAACUUUAGUCCUCAUGUAUGUAAAGUUCAAGGUUCAAGGUUCAAGGUUCACAUUUAAUACCCCAGUGCUUUCCCCUCAAAAGAUCCAUUAAAUUGCAAUUUAAUGAUUUUGGGGGAGUGCUUCAAAUAAACAAACCAACCAACAAACAAAUAAGCUAAAGUCCUUAAAAACUAUCAACAAAAACUUUGCAGGGGCCACAAUGUGAAAGCCAAGGUUUAGACUACAGGAGAUUUUUGAUGCUGGAACACUCAAAGUGCUAGUAGUUUACAAUAGCAGACGUAUCUCCAUGUUCUUGGGUCCCAGUGGAUCUGCUCCUGGUGCUCACUCCUGAUUUCUGAUGCCCUACUUUAAACACCAUACUUCAGGCUUCACUGUGAUGAGCAAGGCUAGGUCUGGACCCUGCAGCAGAAACUCAAAGUUUAGCACCACCUCAACUCUAUCGCCCACCACUCAUUGGUCAGGCUGUUCACCCAGCUCUCCUCCAUUGCAAACACAGGAAAGUGGACAAGGAUACUGCUUCCACUUCCUGGAGGGAGAGCAGAGUCAGCCACAGGGAACAGUGUCUACCACAUACAUGGGUUUUCUGUAGAUAACAAACUUUCACUAUUGUAUCUCAUUUUUAUCUCAGUUCUUAUAACCUCUAGCCAAUAAAACCACUGUUAGUCCACGUUCCUCCUGGAUCCCUUUUAGCGUAGUCCAGGUAAAGUCAGCAUGAUUGCACAGAGAAUAGAAGGCGAUAGGAAGAUCUGAGGAGAGCAGGGAAAGCACAAGAGGUAAGUGAGCCAGGACAAAGGAGUUGGGUGACUGAGAAUGAGAGAAAGACAGGAAGGAAGAAAAGGGGGCAGGGGAAAAGAAGCUGUCUUUCCUCCAUGUUUACUAACACUGGACAUUGAGCAUUAACUGGUCUUCUAAUUAAUUAAUUUAUUUUUUCAGAGCUGAGGACCAAACCCAGGGCCUUGUGCUUGCUAGGCAAGCAUUCUACCACUGAGCUAAAUCCCCAACCAACAUUGGCCCUUGAAUAAGAACAUUUACAUGGGUUUGUCCUCAUAAUAAUCUUGUCAGGUUGUCUUUAUUGUGUAAAUGUAAAACAGAGGCUCAAAAGACAUAAAACUCACUGCAGUCAAGACUGUAAGUUGAGUAUCUCUCAGGAAGUCUAAGAAAGGCACUCGAAAAGAAGAAGGCUAAUGGCUUUGAAUGAACCAAUUGUCAUACUUCCUGGAAUUCCUGAGAAUUAGUUUUCAUGCACUAUGUCUAUACUGACAAACAUGUUUGGUAAAAAUAAGCAUCGAGAUUCCAUAGUGGCUCCUACACGGAAUGGCCACAGACUUCAUGAGAAACCAAGGUUCUUUUCAAGUCCACCAUCCACAGGCUAAUCCUCUCCCCCCCCGCCCCGCCCCAUUCUCUUGAGCACAUGUAUUGUGGAGGGUUUUCCCAAGUGAAACACUCCCUACUGGAUGGAGGAACACACAAGACUUAGGAAAUGAGCAAAACUUUCAAGUCUCAGAAGGCUUAAAAUUUAUAGAAUUCAUAAGUUCCCUACCCAAGUUUAUCCACAGUAACAGUUAUUUGUGUGUGUGUGUGUGUGUGUGUGUGUGUGUGUGUGUGUGUGUGUGUGUUUGCGGGGUGUUGCAUUCUAAGGGGAAAAUGUAUCAAGUUGCCUGUAAGUCAUACAUGGAGUGCCAAAGUGGAAGCUUUCAGGAAUGGUCACUACUACUGAUGUGGACUCUUUGAUAUUGCUGUUACCUGUGUUAUCCAUGUUCUUGUCAAUCCCUCAUACACCCCCUUGUAACUAAACCCAAUAAAUUUGC
ensembl:antisense Gm15496 predicted gene 15496